GCGAAAUAUAGCUUAAUGGUAAAGCAUCCCGACUUCAGUCGGGAGGAUGCAGUUCGAUCCUGAUAUUUCGCU
rnacentral:tRNA from 1 species